rnacentral:rRNA from 1 species
UACGUAGGGUGCGAGCGUUGUCCGGAAUUAUUGGGCGUAAAGAGCUCGUAGGCGGUGUGUCGCGUCGGCCGUGAAAACCUGCGGCUCAACUGCAGGCUGGCGGUCGAUACGGGCAGGCUGGAGUUCGGUAGGGGAGACUGGAAUUCCUGGUGUAGCGGUGAAAUGCGCAGAUAUCAGGAGGAACACCGGUGGCGAAGGCGGGUCUCUGGGCCGAUACUGACGCUGAGGAGCGAAAGCGUGGGGAGCGAACAGG